rnacentral:rRNA from 1 species
CUUGGUCAUUUAGAGGAAGUAAAAGUCGUAACAAGGUUUCCGUAGGUGAACCUGCGGAAGGAUCAUUACCUAGAGUUUGUAGACUUCGGUCUGCUACCUCUUACCCAUGUCUUUUGAGUACCUUCGUUUCCUCGGCGGGUCCGCCCGCCGAUUGGACAACAUUCAAACCCUUUGCAGUUGCAAUCAGCGUCUGAAAAAACAUAAUAGUUACAACUUUCAACAACGGAUCUCUUGGUUCUGGCAUCGAUGAAGAACGCAGCGAAAUGCGAUAAGUAGUGUGAAUUGCAGAAUUCAGUGAAUCAUCGAAUCUUUGAACGCACAUUGCGCCCUUGGUAUUCCAUGGGGCAUGCCUGUUCGAGCGUCAUUUGUACCCUCAAGCUCUGCUUGGUGUUGGGUGUUUGUCUCGCCUYUGCGUGUAGACUCGCCUUAAAACAAUUGGCAGCCGGCGUAUUGAUUUCGGAGCGCAGUACAUCUCGCGCUUUGCACUCAUAACGACGACGUCCAAAAGUACAUUUUUACACUCUUGACCUCGGAUCAGGUAGGGAUACCCGCUGAACUUAAGCAUAUCAAUAAGCGGAGGA